rnacentral:rRNA from 1 species
GAGUUUGAUCGUGGCUCAGGAUGAACGCUGGCGGCGUGCCUAACACAUGCAAGUCGAACGGAGUUUAUGAGGAAGAAGCUUCGGCGGAAUUCUUAUAAACUUAGUGGCGGACGGGUGAGUAACACGUGGAGAACCUGCCUCUUACCGGGGGACAGCAGUUGGAAACGACUGAUAAUACCGCAUAAGCGCACGAGACCGCAUGGUCCUGUGUGAAAAGAUUUAUCGGUAAGAGAUGGCCCCGCGUCUGAUUAGCCAGUUGGCGGGGUAACGGCCCACCAAAGCGACGAUCAGUAGCCGGCCUGAGAGGGUGAACGGCCACAUUGGGACUGAGACACGGCCCAGACUCCUACGGGAGGCAGCAGUGGGGGAUAUUGCACAAAUGGAGGAAACUCUGAUGCAGCGACGCCGCGUGAGUGAAGAAGUAUUUCGGUAUGUAAAGCUCUAUCAGCAGGGAAGAAAGACUCGAAAGAGGGAUGACGGUACCUGAGUAAGAAGCCCGGCUAACUACGUGCCAG